rnacentral:rRNA from 1 species
UACGUAGGUGGCAAGCGUUGUCCGGAUUUACUGGGCGUAAAGCGUGUGUAGGCGGAUUUUUAAGUAGGAAGUGAAAGGUUGGUGCUCAACACUAACACUGCUCCCUAUACUGGAAGUCUUGAAGGCCGGAGAGGAAAGCGGAACGAGUCGUGUAGCGGUGAAAUGCGUAGAUAUCAGUCGGAACACCGGUGGCGAAGGCGGCUUCUUGGGCCGUUCCUGACGCUGAGGCGCGAAAGCUGGGGGAGCGAACGGG